rnacentral:rRNA from 1 species
UACGAAGGGGGCUAGCGUUGUUCGGAAUUACUGGGCGUAAAGCGCGCGCAGGCGGUUCUUCAAGUCAGAGGUGAAAGCCCAGAGCUUAACUCUGGAAUGGCCUUUGAGACUAGAGAACUAGGGUACGGGAGAGGUGAGUGGAAUUCCGAGUGUAGAGGUGAAAUUCGUAGAUAUUCGGAAGAACACCAGUGGCGAAGGCGGCUCACUGGCCCGUUACCGACGCUCAGGCGCGACAGCGUGGGGAGCAAACAGG